GACGAACGCUGGCGGCGUGCUUAACACAUGCAAGUCGAGCGGUAAGGCCCUUUCGGGGGUACACGAGCGGCGAACGGGUGAGUAACACGUGGGUGACCUGCCCUCAGCUCUGGGAUAAGCCUGGGAAACUGGGUCUAAUACCGGAUAUGACUCCAUGACGCAUGUUGUGGGGUGGAAAGCCUUGUGCGGCUGGGGAUGGGCCCGCGGCCUAUCAGCUUGUUGGUGGGGUGAUGGCCUACCAAGGCGACGACGGGUAGCCGGCCUGAGAGGGCGACCGGCCACACUGGGACUGAGACACGGCCCAGACUCCUACGGGAGGCAGCAGUGGGGAAUCUUGCGCAAUGGGCGAAAGCCUGACGCAGCGACGCCGCGUGA
rnacentral:rRNA from 1 species